rnacentral:rRNA from 1 species
UCGGCCAGCCACAGCUCCAAGAAUACGCGGAGGAGGUGGCCCGGGUCGGCGUCGGCGCCGUCCGGCGCGGGCCACGGGCCCGCUUCCAAGUGCGUCUGCACGCCGGUCACCCAUGCCGGGUCCUUCAAGUGCCGCUUCCACCGCACCAACUCCCAGGGCCACGGCCAGGGCCAGGGAAGCCUCCCUUCUUCGCCCCCUUCACCGGCCGUGGCCAACGCGGUGCCGCGGGACCCGUCCUCACCGUCCUCGUCCUCCGGCACCGUUGUGACCCAGUGA